UACGUAGGGGGCAAGCGUUGUCCGGAUUUAUUGGGCGUAAAGAGCUCGUAGGCGGCUCAGUAAGUCGGAUGUGAAAACUCGGGGCUCAACCCCGAGACGCCAUCCGAUACUGCUGUGGCUUGAGUCUGGUAGGGGAACACGGAAUUCCUGGUGUAGCGGUGAAAUGCGCAGAUAUCAGGAGGAACACCGGUGGCGAAGGCGGCUCUCUGGGCCUUACCUGACGCUGAGGCGCGAAAGCUAGGGGAGCGAACAGG
rnacentral:rRNA from 1 species